AUUGAACGCUGGCGGCAGGCCUAACACAUGCAAGUCGGACGGUAACAGGAAGAAGCUUGCUUCUUUGCUGACGAGUGGCGGACGGGUGAGUAAUGUCUGGGAAACUGCCUGAUGGAGGGGGAUAACUACUGGAAACGGUAGCUAAUACCGCAUAACGUCGCAAGACCAAAGAGGGGGACCUUCGGGCCUCUUGCCACCGGAUGUGCCCAGAUGGGAUUAGCUUGUUGGUGGGGUAACGGCUCACCAAGGCGACGAUCCCUAGCUGGUCUGAGAGGAUGACCAGCCACACUGGAACUGAGACACGGUCCAGACUCCUACGGGAGGCAGCAGUGGGGAAUAUUGCACAAUGGGCGCAAGCCUGAUGCAGCCAUGCCGCGUGUAUGAAGAAGGCCUUCGGGUUGUAAAGUACUUUCAGCGGGGAGGAAGGGAGUAAAGUUAAUACCUUUGCUCAUUGACGUUACCCGCAGAAGAAGCACCGGCUAACUCCGUGCCAGCAGCCGCGGUAAUACGGAGGGUGCAAGCGUUAAUCGGAAUUACUGGGCGUAAAGCGCACGCAGGCGGUUUGUUAAGUCAGAUGUGAAAUCCCCGGGCUCAACCUGGGAACUGCAUCUGAUACUGGCAAGCUUGAGUCUCGUAGAGGGGGGUAGAAUUCCAGGU
rnacentral:rRNA from 1 species